rnacentral:rRNA from 1 species
AUUGAACGCUGGCGGCAGGCCUAACACAUGCAAGUCGAACGAGUGGCGGACGGGUGAGUAAUGUCUGGGAAACUCCCUUAUGGAGGGGGAUAACUACGGGAAACGGUAGCUAAUACCGCUUACCAUACGAUGUGCCCAAGUGGGAUUAGGUAGUUGGUGGGGUAAAGGCUCACCAAGUCGACGAUCCCUAGCUGGUCUGAGAGGAUGACCAGCCACACUGGAACUGAGACACGGCCCAGACUCCUACGGGAGGCAGCAGUGGGGAAUAUUGCGCAAUGGGCGCAAGCCUGAUGCAGCCAUGCCGCGUGAAUGAAGAAGGCCUUCGGGUUGUAAAGUACUUUCGGUGGGGAGGCGUUACCUGCAGAAGAAGCACCGGCUAACUCCGUGCCAGCAGCCGCGGUAAUUC